rnacentral:pre_miRNA from 1 species
AGCCGAGGUUUUCCUCUGCAGUUAACUGCAGCCUAUUUUAUCUUUCUUCGGCAGUUAACUGCAGAGUGGGUAU